UCUUCCCAUUCCGAACAGAGAAGUUAAGCUCACUAACGCCGAUGGUACUGCGGUCAUCCCGUGGGAGAGUAGGUAGCCGCCUCUU
rnacentral:rRNA from 1 species